rnacentral:sRNA from 1 species
CGGGUGCGGGCGCAGGCGGCCUGACCCUUCCGCAGGCCUCCGAGGAGCUGCUGCGUGAGCACUACGCCGAGCUGCGUGAACGCCCGUUCUACGGCCGCCUUGUCAAGUAUAUGGCCUCCGGGCCGGUGGUGGCCAUGGUGAGUACCCGGGAAGCGGGCGGGCGGCCCCGGGACCCCCAUCCCCGCGUGAUACCGCGCCCGUUCGCCCGCACAGGUAUGGCAGGGGCUGGACGUGGUGCGCACCUCGCGGGCGCUCAUCGGGGCCACGAACCCGGCCGACGCCCCGCCCGGCACCAUCCGCGGGGAUUUCUGCAUCGAGGUUGGCAAGAACCUGAUUCACGGCAGCGACUCGGUGGAGAGUGCCCGCCGCGAGAUCGCGCUCUGGUUCCGCGCAGACGAGCUCCUCUGCUGGGAGGACAGCGCUGGGCACUGGCUGUAUGAGUAGCCCGGCAGAUGCGCGUCGCAGAGGCUCUCACACUCCAGCCUCCUCCAGAGGGCCCAGGUGGCCGGGCUUCUGGCCCCACCCCACAGCGCUUGGAGCAUCCCUUUGGACGGGCUGCUGAACAUCCACCUGUCUGGACGUUGCAUUGAGGGUGGCGCAGGCCUCUCCAAUCCCUGGCGUUCCUGCCCGAGGAGCUGCUCCAGGAGCCUGCGCGGCUCGCCUGGAAACGUGCCAGGACACUGUCCUGGUGCCCAGCCCAACGUGGUCCAACUUUUUUUAUAAUAAAGUCCUCGUUUUCGUGUCG